UGUGCCGUUCUAGUGUGGAACUUGGGCCAUCUCAUUUUGAUUACAGUGUCCAGGUGUGUGAGCUACGGCGCAUCAUUCUCGUCAAAUCCAUCUCGUAAAUUACGACGACUACGAAGAAGAUAAAGCUGUAGAACUAACUAAUCCGGUACUUUGUUUGCUUUUUCUCGGAAUUUCGUGGAUGCCUCGGGGAAGACUUCAAUGGCGUCGGAGAGGGACGUCCUUGGUCAGGAUUCGAACCUGCGAUCUCAGAAUCGGGUUAUGAACAUCUCCGUGGUAUUCCCGUGAUUUUCUAAUUUAAGAAUAACUUUCGUUUGCAGGUUAAGACAAUGUGGAAGGCUUUUU
rnacentral:lncRNA from 1 species